UACGUAGGGUCCGAGCGUUGUCCGGAAUUACUGGGCGUAAAGAGCUCGUAGGUGGUUUGUCGCGUUGUUCGUGAAAACUCACAGCUCAACUGUGGGCGUGCGGGCGAUACGGGCAGACUAGAGUACUGCAGGGGAGACUGGAAUUCCUGGUGUAGCGGUGGAAUGCGUAGAUAUCGAUCGGAACACCCAUGGCGAAGGCAGCUCGCUGGCCUGCAACUGACGCUGAGGCGCGAAAGCCGGGGGAGCGAACAGG
rnacentral:rRNA from 1 species